CCAGAGUUGGUGAUCUCUUAACUAGACCUUCUCACUCUCCACAACCACAAGGAGGUUGUAGCCAGGUAGGGGUCAGUCUCUUCUCCAAGUAACAAGCGACAGGACAAGAGGAAACAGCCUCAGGUUGUGCCAAGGGAGGUUUGGAUUGGAUAUUAGGAAAACUUUCUUCACCAAGAGGGUUGUCCAGCCCCGGCACAGCUUCCCAGGGCAGUGGUGAAAUCCCUGGAGGGAUUUAAAAGAUGUGCAGAUGUGGGGAUGUGGUUUAGUGGUGGCCUUGGCAGUGCUGGGUUAAUGGUUGGGCUUGAUCAUUUUAAAGGUCUUUUCCAAGCUGAACAAUGCCAUGAUUCUAUGAUUCUAUUGCUGGCCUGCUGCUACCUGUCUCCUUCCCUGUCACCUGGCCAUGUCAGCUGUCCUCAGAGGACCCCUUUGCCUUAGGGCUUCCCACAAGAGGAGCUUGGCUGAGGGCUCGGCCAGCUCCCACCCCCUGUGGCCACUUGGGAAGCAGGAGCACAGGGGGCCAGGGGGCCAGCAGCCUUCCCCCAGUGGUAGCCACCUCACCCACCUGCAGUGGAUGCAGACAGGGACACUGUCAUCUGGCUGGUAGCAGCGAAUCUCCCUGAUGAGCUCCAGGAUGGGGUCAGUGGAGGAGGGGACGUGGUGGUCUGGCCAGUUUUUGUAGUGGAACUGGUGGGUGGUGCGGGUCACCUGCAAGAGGAGAGAGCUGGCAGGGGCUGGGCCGGCCCGUGCCACUGAGGGGACGCUGCCACAGCUCCUGCAGGCACAGACAGGGGUGUUGGCAUGGCAAGGGGAAGCUGGAUUGCUGCAGACAUCUCCAGGUCCUGUCUGCACCAGCAGGCAAAGGGCAGAGGAGCAGUUUGCCGCUGGUUUUGCUGCAGAAGCCAUUUUAUGACAUUCUUGACGUCACCCGUUGGCUUCACUCAUUGCCACAACUGACAAACAGCUUCAGAGGUAACAGCCUUUGAGGUAACUAAUUUUUUUACUUUCUUUGUUCCCUCAACUACUGUCAAAUCUAAAUCAGCAGCCUGACCAGCAUGAAAUUUUCUGCACAAAAUGUACCAUAUUUGAAUAUAUUAUUUAUGUAAUAAAGCCAUCCAAGAUGCACUUCCUGCCUUGACCUUUCCUACUCACCCCGUUGAAGGUCACCUUCAAAGCUCUAAUCACGUACUCAUUCCUCUUCUCCUCGGCUUCCUGCAGAAGGAGAAGUCAGAGUCACAUUUCCAGUGGGUGCCACGGGGUGCUGGUGCAGGUGCUGGGGCAGGACACGGUGCUGUGGGGGCUGCACUCACACAGGUGAUGGAGAAGGGGCCACAGUGCAGGGGGGAGCCCUCCACCUCCGCCCAGUACCGCUCACACUUCUUCUGUUGGGAGAAGCAGGAUGUGUUUGGUUAUUCCUCACUGGCCCAGCCAUGCUCCUGUCUCAAUUUUCAGGAGAAAAUUCACGUUGCUGGGCAGCUCCAGCCCCUCCUUCCCUGGAGCCACCACUGCUGGUUUUGCCUUUCCAGAGAGGCUCUUUAUGCUACUGGAAACAGCUUAAGAAUUUCACAGUCACAGAGUGGUUUGGGUUGAAAGAGACCUUAAAGAUCAUCUUAUUCCACCCUCCUAUAAAGGGCAGGGACACCUCCCACUAGACCAUUUGCAGCUGGAGACUCAGAAAAUAGCUCAUAUAAAAGAGAAACUCACUGUCACUAGUGAGAUUUAAUAAAAAGCUGCUCCUCUCACCCUGCCCUGGCACUGUCACAGCAGAGGCCACCUCUGACACACCACUCACCUUCCCCAUUUCAAACUCCAUACAAGCCAUGACCACGACCUGCAGAAAGAAAGUUCAUCAGAAAAGUCUGAACACAACUUCCUUAUCCAGGCAGUGAAAUCAAACUCAUCCCUUGCAGGUCUUUGUCAGCAAUGAGGAGAUUCUGUGGGCUGCUUUCCCCUGAGCCACAACUGCAAAACAGGGACCAUCACCCACAGCCUGGGCACAAGGACCUUCCCACCCAGAGCCCAAAGGCAGAGACAGCCACCAGCAGAUUCCUGGCACAGGAGGCUGAUGGGAGGGAUUUGGGGCACACACAACAUCUGGAGUAAAACCCUUUUGCUCCCUCUGACCCACAAAGGACUUCUGCCUGUAUGGACAACAUUUCUUAAAAGAAAAAACAAAACAACCAAACCAAACCCAACCAAAACAAAAAAAAUCCCCCAAAACAUAUAAACUUUAUAUUUAAAUAUAAAUCUGCACCUUACCAGGACUUCAUACUCCCAAAUCAUCCUCCAAAAGUCAAUGACAGUAGUGGGGAGAGGACCCUGGGUUGCAAUGUAUGCUCUUGGUCCAUAGACACCCUAGAACAUUCAAACCAGACAUGGAGACAUCUGUGCAUAGCUCACCAGCAGAAAUAAAGUCAUUCCUCCCUCUGAAUCUGAUCCUACUCAAUGAGCCUGUUAAGGAUUUAGAAGGACUUUCAUACAGUUGAAUUUUAGGCACCUACAGUAAAUCAAACAAUGGUGUUCAAACCUCCCAAAGGAAGGGCCAGGCCAGGGAGCUGGGUUUGGGGUGCUCCCAGAGACCACCACCAGCUCUUGCAGUGCCUCUAGGAGCUUGGAGGUGACGUGGCCACAGCUGGUGCCAAAGAAUGAACCAUGAAGGUCUGUUGGGAAGGGUUGGUAAGGCCUGUUCUUCUCCAGAUGGAUUGCACAGAUCCCUGGGUCACUGUUGUGGAGAAUGAAGGAAAUCUAUCUAUCUAUCUAUGUAACUAUCUAUCUAUCUAUCCAUCUAUCCAUAUCUAUCCAUCUGUCCAUCUAUCUUUCAAUCAGAGAAGGGUCCCAAAGGCGUGGGAGAGUCCCAAAACUCAUGGAGCUCCUGAUGGAGAGCCAGCCCACGCUGACCUGCCCCGUUGCUGGUCCCUGCAGUGGGUCCCAGCAGUGCUGCAGUGCAAGGCUUCCUGCCUCUGCUCUGCUUUCAGCCAAAGUGACUCUGGCCACAGGCAGUUUUGCACCACUGUCACCCACCCCAGGCAGCAACGCCGACGAGGAAGUCGGGGCUGUGAACCACAAACUGUUCCACCAGUGCAAGCACACGGCCCUUGCCCUGUGGCCUGGUGGCUCUGUGCUGCACGGGGUGUUUUUUGGAGGGCUCCCUGGUUGUGCACAGCUCCUUACACCAACCAUCCCUGAGCACAGCCCAGAGACUCCAGCAGAGUCCUUUCACUGAGCAGAGCCCCCAACCUGCUCCUCCUGGCACAACUCAGCGAGGUGACCCCAUGAACACCUUUGCAGGGCAAAACACCACGAAAGAGGCAAUACCUUGAUGAAGUUGGCAUUGAUGUAAUGGGAAUCUGUGUCAGAUGUAAUCAGGGACAACUCCACUCUGCUGUGGUCAACUGCAGGCACAAAAGCAGAAGCAGCAGCAGUCAGUGUCUGUGUGUCAGGGCUGCUGAGCUCCUCGGGGUGCAGCACAAGGUGCUUUGGAGGAGCACUGACACCAGAGAGCUCAUCCCAGAGCAGGUGAGUGGCUGUGCAAGCAGCUGGUGUUCCCUCCCACACCUCCCCACAGCCCUGCCCAGAGCUGCCUACACACACAGGGGAUGGACAAGCUCCUUUUGGGGUGGGGAUGAGGGCUUAGGGGAGAGCUGCUGGUGCUGCCACUACCCCAGUGCAACGCUGACCCCUCUGACUAUGCAGCAAGCCAAGCCUAAAAUCACCCAGCACUGCAUCUGACAGGCUCAAACCAGGUCUGUGGGGUUAGAUACAAUGGUUCAAAGGUUGGACUUGAUGAUCUUGGAGGUCUUUUCCAACCUUAGUUAUUCUCUGAUUUAUUUUUUUCCAAGAUAGGAUGGAUGAAAGGGGCAGUCUGCUCUGAUCCUGGGACAGCACAUCCUUUGGAGACCACCACAUGAAGCCAGGACAAACCACAGUAGGUUUUGCCUGUACAUCAUGGAGACAUCUUUGUCCAAAGCCAUUUUCUAGAAAGUCUUGGAAAACCAGUGCUUGCAAUGCCACCCAGAAAGCUUGCAAGGAUGAUCAUUGAGGGAUGUAUUCCCUAGAGAACAGCGGUUCUUCUGUCUCUAAAAAUAUCACAGAAUCAUAGAACAUCCUGAGCUGGAAGAGACCCCCAAGGAUCAUCAAGUCCAACUCCUGGCCCUGCACAGGAAAACCCCAAAAUCACACUGUGUGCCUGAGACCAUCAAUAUGUGCCAAAGUCUUCCAGAGCAUGGACUGCAGCAGCCAAAGCCUUAAAUCUGAACAGCAGGAUUCAAGGCCAAGAGCCAGCAGUGAGAUGCUCCCAUACAACAACUGUGCAGGCGAGUACUGGAGGAUGAGAACACACUGGAGCUGGAAAAACAAAAGGCUGAAUAGAAACAUGUGCCAUUUCCAACCUACAGGCUUCUGUGAUAAAAGAAUGGAACAAAUUACAGCAGAGGUGUUACAUCCAGCACAGUACUGGAGAGCGCGUGUGAAGGUCUCCAGGGGUCAGGUUUGCUGCCACAAAGCAAGAUGCCCCCAUCCAUGAUUGCAAACACAAAGGGAGCACAAGCAACCAGAGCAGAGCAGCAACAUGGACUGAUGAAAGAGAGGGGAGAAGGAGUCCUGGGACAGACCCUUAGGGCUGCAAAUCUCUCAUCUCUCUCAUUUCCAGGAUAAAGCACUCACAGAGGGUUGAAGCAUCUGUCUCCUAACAAAUGAUGGAAUUCUAGUUCACUGCCAUGAGCUUCUAAAUAACACACACUAUUUGUUACCAUCAACUUCAGAAGCACCAUC